rnacentral:rRNA from 1 species
AUUGAACGCUGGCGGCAGGCCUAACACAUGCAAGUCGAGCGGAUGAAGGGAGCUUGCUCCUGGAUUCAGCUGCGGACGGGUGAGUAAUGCCUAGGAAUCUGCCUGGCAGUUGGGGAUAACGUCCGGAAACGGGCGCUAAUACCGCAUACGUCCUGAGGGAGAAAGUGGGGGAUCUUCGGACCUCACGCUAUCAGAUGAGCCUAUGUCGGAUUAGCUAGUUGGUGGGGUAAAGGCCUACCAAGGCGACGAUCCGUAACUGGUCUGAGAGGAUGAUCAGUCACACUGGAACUGAGACACGGUCCAGAAUCCUAAGGGAGGCAGCAGUUGGGAAUUUUUGGCAAUGGGCGAAAGCCUGAUCCAGCCAAGCCGCGUGUGUGAAGAAGGUCUUCGGAUUGUAAAACACUUUUAGUUGGGAGGAAGGGCGGUCAGUUUAUACCUUCCUGUUUUGACGGUACCCAAAGAAAAAGCAACGGCUAACUUCGUG